rnacentral:rRNA from 1 species
GAUGAACGCUGGCGGCGUGCCUAAUACAUGCAAGUCGAGCGAACGGACGAGAAGCUUGCUCCUCUGAUGUUAGCGGCGGACGGGUGAGUAACACGUGGAUAACCUACCUAUAAGACUGGGAUAACUUCGGGAAACCGGAGCUAAUACCGGAUAAUAUUUUGAACCGCAUGGUUCAAUAGUGAAAGACGGUUUUGCUGUCACUUAUAGAUGGAUCCGCGCUGCAUUAGCUAGUUGGUAAGGUAACGGCUUACCAAGGCAACGAUGCGUAGCCGACCUGAGAGGGUGAUCGGCCACACUGGAACUGAGACACGGUCCAGACUCCUACGGGAGGCAGCAGUAGGGAAUCUUCCGCAAUGGGCGAAAGCCUGACGGAGCAACGCCGCGUGAGUGAUGAAGGUCUUCGGAUCGUAAAACUCUGUUAUUAGGGAAGAACAAAUGUGUAAGUAACUAUGCACGUCUUGACGGUACCUAAUCAGAAAGCCACGGCUAACUACGUG